CUGCGGAAGGAUCAUUACCGAGUGUAGGGUUCCUAGCGAGCCCAACCUCCCACCCGUGUUUACUGUAACCUUAGUUGCUUCGGCGGGCCCGCCUUUAAGGCCGCCGGGGGGCAUCAGCCCCCGGGCCCGCGCCCGCCGGAGACACCACGAACUCUGUCUGAUCUAGUGAAGUCUGAGUUGAUUGUAUCGCAAUCAGUUAAAACUUUCAACAAUGGAUCUCUUGGUUCCGGCAUCGAUGAAGAACGCAGCGAAAUGCGAUAACUAGUGUGAAUUGCAGAAUUCCGUGAAUCAUCGAGUCUUUGAACGCACAUUGCGCCCCCUGGUAUUCCGGGGGGCAUGCCUGUCCGAGCGUCAUUGCUGCCCAUCAAGCACGGCUUGUGUGUUGGGUCGUCGUCCCCUCUUCGGGGGGGACGGGCCCCAAAGGCAGCGGCGGCACCGCGUCCGAUCCUCGAGCGUAUGGGGCUUUGUCACCCGCUCUGUAGGCCCGGCCGGCGCUUGCCGAACGCAAAACAACCAUUCUUUCCAGGUUGACCUCGGAUCAGGUAGGGAUACCCGCUGAACUUAAGCAUAUCAAUAA
rnacentral:rRNA from 1 species